rnacentral:lncRNA from 1 species
AGACUUACCUCUGCAGUGCCCGGUAUUUGAAGUCUAGCAGACCGGAUGUUUAGUUUAUCAUCUUGGAAAUCUGAGGAGAACGUGUCGUUGCCGACGGUACUGUCCAGAGGACUGACACACUCCUCACCUAAAAAUGAGAUGUGUAAAUCUUUACUGUGGGAUUGAAUGGUACUUUGCAACUGAGCCAACACUUUGGUCUUGUAUCUGAGUAACCAUGGAGACAGAAGCUUGUGUUUAGUGCGAUGAAAAGAGAGUGGAUGAAGAGGGAAUGAAAGUGGCAGGGACUGAACAAUUUAAGAUGCUGUCAUGUGAAGAAGCUGAGAAAGAGGAACGAAGUGAACUUGAAGGUCAUGGAAGAGACAAAAAGUAAUGUUAACACAGGGAAUUGUUGAACAGCUUUUCAUAUCUCUCUCUCUCUCUCUCUCUCUCUCUCUCUCUCUCUCUCUCUCACACACACAGAAAACACACAGACACCCCAUGUAAAACUAAGGAACGAAUGCUUUUCACCUCCUCACCUAUCAUGAGACGUCUAAAUCUUUACUGCGGGAUUGAAUGGUACUUUGGUAUUGAGCUGACACUUUCUACUUGUAUUUGCGUAACCAUGGAGACAGAGCGUCUGUUUAGUGCAAUGAAGAAAAAGUGGGUGAAGGAUGAAUGAAAGCAGCAGGCACCGAAUAAUUUAAGAUGGGGACAUGCGAAGAAGCAGAGAAAGGAAAGAACUGAACUUGAAGGUCAAAGAAGAGAGAAAAAUUAACUUUAAACAGGGAAGUCUUGAAAAGCUUCCCACUUGGUGAACAUCUGUUCAAACUGUUCCGAAGUUGUACCUGUCAUGUCCGACAGAGUCUCCAGUUCUCGGGCAGCCGAAGGCCCCAGAGCGAUGGUGUGGAUGAUGGCACCGCUGCGAGAGACGGCCUCAAAGCAGGAACGUAUUCCAUUAUCUUCCCCAUCUGUCAGCAAUACGAUCUCAGAACCGGAAGUGCUCUGGUCACUGGAGGAUGCACAUCUUUUUAAUAUUCUCUUUCUUAGCUGACUUGAUGAUACACGGAAAUGGGCAAGCAUUAGACUUCU